rnacentral:rRNA from 1 species
GAUGAACGCUGGCGGCGUGCCUAAUACAUGCAAGUUGUGCGGUAACAGAGAGAGCUUGCUCUCUGCUGACGAGCGGCGGACGGCAGAGUAACGCGUAGGAACAUACCCCAAACUGAGGGAUAACUGCUCGAAAGAGUAGCUAAUACCGCAUGUGGUCUUCGGAUUAAAGCUUCGGCGGUUUGGGAGUGGCCUGCGUCCGAUUAGCUAGUUGGUGAGGUAAUUGCUCACCAAGGCGACGAUCGGUAGCUGGUCUGAGAGGAUGAUCAGCCUGACUGGAACUGAGAACGGUCCAGACUCCUACGGGAGGCAGCAGUAGGGAAUUUUCCACAAUGGGCGAAAGCCUGAUGGAGCAACGCCGCGUGCAGGAUGAAUGCCUUCGGGUUGUAAACUGCUUUCUGUGUGAGAAUAUGACGGUAACACAGGAAUAAGGGUCGGCUAACUACGUGCC